AUCCCCAAAUCUUCUUUUAUCAAAAGCUAAGUGAUACGUAAGCCAUCGAUAACACAAAAUUCGCCGCACGAAAUCUCCAUUGUUGGAGGAGAGACCUAAUAUCAGCCUUAGGUCUCUCGUUUAUGAGUUCUUGUGCAGCAGAGAAGUGUGGUAUCUUUGAUAUAUGUAGUUCGUCCGUUGCUAGGGUUGAGUUUGUUCUUUUUCUCUGUGACCAAUUUCAAAAUCACUUAGAAUCUCUUGCCAAAACAUCAAGAUGUGGUGAGUCAGCUUAUCCUUUUCAAAAAGGAGUAUUCCAGUCAUUCACUAAAGAAGAAAUCUUCAACGCCGCCCCGAUUCCACCUCUACGCUCUCCACCAUUUCACCAUGCUUGAUGGAGGACCGUGUUGAACGUACAUCUUAAGCAGAGGAACAACGUAGGAGCUAAAUCAUGUCGGUAGUGAAUCUUUAUUUGUAGAGUCUCUUGUUCAAUAUGCUACAGAUCAUUGUUGUUGUGGUUCAGGAGGCCACCCCUUGUUGGAACCUUGUUUGGUGGGCUGGAAUGUUAUCUAUGAUUAUUGGAGAGGGAGCAAACUUU